rnacentral:rRNA from 1 species
UACGGAGGGUGCAAACGUUGCUCGGAAUUAUUGGGCGUAAAGCGCACGUAGGCGGUCUAGCAAGUCGGGUGUGAAAGCCCUCAGCUUAACUGAGGAAGUGCAUUCGAAACUACUAGGCUUGAGUACUGAAGAGGACGACGGAAUUCCCGGUGUAGAGGUGAAAUUCGUAGAUAUCGGGAGGAACACCAGUGGCGAAGGCGGCUCACUGGCCCGGUACUGACGCUGAGGCACGAAAGCGUGGGGAGCAAACAGG